CUUACAAGCAUGGGGAGAGAAAGAAAGGUCAUUUACCUAUCUGAUGCUGAGAUUAUCCAGCUACUGGUAACAGAAAAUCAAUUCAACUUGGAUAGUGAUUGUUAAACCCAUUGGAAAUUGGAUUCUCUUUAAAAAGAAGUC
rnacentral:lncRNA from 12 species